UGUGGGGGGGGCUUGCACGAAUAGUAAUAGUUACCACUGCAUCUAGAAAUUUAAAGCAUUCAUGCAGACAAGGAUGAUUCUUUAUAUUUUUGGCUACCACUUCAAAUGCCUCCACUAAGUGUUACAAUGCUGCACGCAGCCAUACUAAGGAUCUCACAGCAACACUUGCAGGUAAACAGCAAAAGCAGUCAAAGUGCUGGUGUAUUCUGGACACUGUCUUUGAAAACUUUUAGGCAAGAACAGUGCAAGAAACAGACAUAAGAACUGCAUUUAUUUCUAUAAUUCCCCAUUUGAAUGGCCUUUUCUUUUUCCUUCGACAAUGCCUUCGCCUAGCCACAGCAGCUCCCUCAUACAGACUCCGCAAGCCAAGAGGCCGUGGAGGCAAAUGCAGACAGCCAGCACACCUCGAACAGCCACCUUGACUGCGGGUGUGUCACCCUAGUCGCCAAGGAAACAUUUGAGGGAAAGCGACAGGCAAUGUGAACAGCCACUUCUCCAUGUAAACGAUACUCUUUAUCUCGGAUGACUCCUAUGUUCGCCACGCCAGCACACUUGUGCACAAAGAUGCCGCGGAGGCACGUGCAGGUCAGAGGCAAGAAGCAGUGGCACUGGUGUCGACAUUCGCCCAAUUUCUUUUUCUUACACUGAGGCAGCCAGCACACCUCGAACAGCCACCUUAACUGCGGGUGUGUUAAUAGAUUCCUGUUGUACAUAUGCUCAUAAUAAACUUCAGUAAACUUGAACUUGAUAAUAAACUUGAAGGCAAAUGGGA